GACGAACGCUGGCGGCGUGCCUAACACAUGCAAGUCGAACGGACUUAAGUUUUCGGAAUUUAAGUUAGUGGCGGACGGGUGAGUAACGCGUGAGCAACCUGCCUAACAGAGGGGGAUAACGUAUGGAAACGUACGCUAAUACCGCAUAACAUAUGUUUGUCGCAUGGCAGACAUAUCAAAGGAGCAAUCCGCUGAUAGAUGGGCUCGCGUCCGAUUAGAUAGUUGGUGGGGUAAUGGCUCACCAAGUCAGCGAUCGGUAGCCGGACUGAGAGGUUGAACGGCCACAUUGGGACUGAGACACGGCCCAGACUCCUACGGGAGGCAG
rnacentral:rRNA from 1 species